rnacentral:misc_RNA from 1 species
UUUCCGUUGGUGAACCUGCGGAAGGAUCAUUAUUGAAUAACCGAGCUUCGAGCUCUGUCGCUGACUCGACAUGUCGUUCACGCCCGAUUCCCCUCCCACCCAUCCAUCUCACCCCUAUGUGCACCACCGCUUUGGUCCCCCUUUGGCUUGUUCAAAGGGAGACUUAAGUUUUCACACCAACUAUGUAUCCCUUGUAUAAUGUAUUUUUUGUUUUUGCGACCACGCGAUCAAUAAAACUUUUGACAACGGAUCUCUUGGCUUCCUCAUCGAUGAAGAACC